AACGAACGCUGGCGGCGUGCCUAACACAUGCAAGUCGAACGGGAUUAGGGGCUUGCUCCUAAUCUAGUGGCGCACGGGUGAGUAACGCGUAGAUAAUCUGCCUGAUGAUCUGGAAUAACACUUCGAAAGGGGUGCUAAUACCGGAUGAGCCCACGGGUUCUUUGGAAUCUGCGGGAAAAGGGGGGGACCUUUUGGCCUUCUGUCAUCAGAUGAGUCUGCGUACCAUUAGCUAGUUGGUGGUGUAAUGGACCACCAAGGCGACGAUGGUUAGCUGGUCUGAGAGGACGAUCAGCCACACUGGAACUGAGACACGGUCCAGACUCCUACGGGAGGCAGCAGUGGGGAAUUUUGCGCAAUGGGCGAAAGCCUGACGCAGCAACGCCGCGUGAGUGAUGAAGGCUUUCGGGUCGUAAAGCUCUGUCAGGGGGAAAGAAGUGUAUUGGUGCUAAUAUCGCCGAUACUUGACGGUACCCCCAAAGGAAGCACCGGCUAACUCCGUGCCAGCAGCCGCGGUAAAAC
rnacentral:rRNA from 1 species